rnacentral:sRNA from 1 species
UCGAAAUAGGGCAUGACUAGUAUAAAGAGAUUGGAAAUUUGUUCAAAAUUGUUUAUAACUAGCAUGAAAAUGCGUUACGUCCUAACGGUUUGUGUGGGAUAAGAGGCUGGCUAGAGAAAUUCCUGAGCAAAUCUCCAAAAAGGAUUUAAAUUAAUCCAAAGCAAGUUAGCAGCUGAUGACUGGCAUGCAAAAUGCCAGACAGAUUUAUGAGAACGGACAGAUUUGGAGCAAGAGGCUGGCAAACCGAAUGAGGGGCUUUUGGGGGAAACACUGAGUUGGCAAACGAUGUUACGCAUUAGACAAACAACAAGCAGUCGGACGAGUCCAAAUAUAAAAUCCGAGAGCUCGAGUUUCAAACUGAAGACGAAAUUAAGCCGUAUGCUGAUUUCAUUUUAAUUACGAAGCUGCCUCACAGCGAUGGCAAUCAGGCAUGGCAAAGCUGGAUCAGCUUAGAGCGACAAGUGCGUAAUGCACAUGAUGCAUUCAAACAAACUAGUACGAGUGUGAGCCAGAGUCGAGUCCGAGUAUAAUUGCAGAGCAGCCAGAUUGAGCUAAAGAUGCCAACCCAAAUACGAAAGUCGACUCUUGAAUUAGCCAGACUGUGGCCGCUGAGAACUGUGGCCUCGUGUUCACUUAGCGAUCGUCACCUCCACUUUUGCGUUCGCCAUUCGUCAAACUUUGUUAAUGUGUCGGGACCAAGUGCAACAGUCAUAACUCAUUUGCCACUAAACUGGCUGCCCAAAACGUAUUUAUUGUUUGGGCCAUGAACGUGAGCCCCGUUCAGGAAAGAAAAAAAACCAUACAGCCACAGCAAAUAACAAAAAUGUUGCAAAUUGGAAUUAUGUAUGGCCAGUCCUAUGAAUAGGGCAGCAAAACCAAGUCAGACGCCUCUUGCACGUCACGCAUUUUACUGAGUAGCCCGUGGGCCAGCUCCAUUUUACCCCUGAACCCGACGACUGCGUCGGCUGCCCGCAGCGCAACAAUGAAUAUGGACAAACUUGCAAGCGCAGGCGAAAGUUUUUUUUCUUCAUUUAAUUUUUUUGUUUGUGGAAUAGGAGGACUUGGACUUUCAUUCAGUGCCAGAGCCAGCGACACGUUGGCGACAUUGACAAAUGCAUUUGGGAUCAACGACGCGUUGACGUGCGCACGCAUACAAAACUCCUAAAAUAAUAUAUUGUAAUAUAUACUUGCAGCGUAUAGGAUGCCCUUGUCCUGGAAAAUGUUCGCUGGGAUUAUGUUGUGGACUUUACAAUUAGUUCAUAGACAUUUGCUUGAUUUUCAUAAAUGCAAUGUAUGCAGAGUUUAAUUCGAUUUUUACUGUAGUUUUAUUCUCAAAUUUUUAUGUGAUGAUUUUUGUUGUGAUCAAGAUUUUGUAGUGUAGAUUUCAACUUUUAAAAAAUGUUAUUGGUACUAGCUACCAACCCCUGCAACCAACUCCUGCAAUAGAAGAAUUAGAGAUAUGUAAAAUAUCAUAGGACUCGAGGAGCUGCGCAUGAGAUGAAAGCUACGGCGGUUCAUUGCAUGCGAUCCUAAUGUUUUAUUAGACUGGUGCAAGUUUUAGUUUAUUGUAUUAGACUGUCGAAACGAUGCGACAUCCAAAGGAUGGUACCCAAUCGUACCUACCUCCGCACCCCACUCUCCUCCAAACGCUGGCAAUUAUGGCGCGCGUGACACUCGCCGCUUUAGCCGCUUAUCUUUUAUUUAACGUGUUCGCUCUGUAUAAAUAUGGAGUAGCCGGAGCUGGAGCCGGAGCCUCAGAAGCUGGGCUACUCCAGCCGGCUAGCCAGCCAACCAGCCAGCCAACCAGCCAGCCAUCCAGUCAACCAGCCGGCAAUAGCUUCAUUUGUGUCGCCGCCGUUGCCUUUGCAACUCCUGCACUUCAUUAAUUAUGCGAGCUGCUCUCAGGCUCGCCG